rnacentral:rRNA from 1 species
UACGAAGGGGGCUAGCGUUGCUCGGAAUCACUGGGCGUAAAGGGUGUGCAGGCGGGGAAGCAAGUGGUGUAUGAAAUCUCCAGGCUUAACCUGGAGGGUUAUGCCAGACUGCAUCUCUAGAGGACGAGAGAGGGGGGUGGAAUUCCGGGUGUAGUGGUGAAAUGCGUAGAGAUCCGGAGGGACCCAGAGGCGAAGGCGGCCCCCUGGCUCGUACCUGACGCUCAGCCACGAAAGCAUGGGGAGCGAACGGGG